rnacentral:misc_RNA from 1 species
UAAGGAGGACCCUUCCACCGAAGGUGUAAGGAGCCCGCGACCUGCGAAUGUCGGGUCGGGGUGCUCGAUGGCGGAGACACUGGUGAGUUUUUUCCUGGCAACGGCCAUGGACCUUCUAGUACACGCCCUCCUUGUGGGGUGCAGGAACGGGGGUUGUGGUGCGGCUGGGGGAGGGCGGAUAGCACCCUGUUGGGUCCUGAAGGAACAACCCGUGUGGUUGGUUUCUUUAGGCGAAAGCUGCCAGGCAUGACCUGGUCUCGCAUACGCCGGCGGUUGUCGGGUCUGGUGUGGGAUGUGGUGGGAUGUGGGUUGGUCGUUGGUUGAGAAUUGCACAGUGGACGCGAGCAUCUUUGUGGUCAA